AUUGAACGCUGGCGGCAUGCCUAACACAUGCAAGUCGAACGGUAACGACGGGAGCUUGCUCCCGGGCGACGAGUGGCGGACGGGUGAGUAAUACUUAGGGAAUCUGCCCAGUAGUGGGGGACAACUCGAGGAAACUCGAGCUAAUACCGCAUACGCCCUACGGGGGAAAGUGGAGGAUCUUCGGACUUCACGCUAUUGGAUGAGCCUAAGUCGGAUUAGCUUGUAGGUAGGGUAACGGCCUACCUAGGCAACGAUCCGUAGCUGGUCUGAGAGGACGAUCAGCCACACUGGAACUGAGACACGGUCCAGACUCCUACGGGAGGCAGCAGUGGGGAAUAUUGGACAAUGGGGGCGAACCCUGAUCCAGCAAUGCCGCGUGUGUGAAGAAGGCCUGCGGGUUGUAAAGCACUUUCAGUAGAGAAGAAAAGCUUACGGUUAAUACCCGUGAGUCUUGACGUAACCUACAGAAGAAGCACCGGCUAACUCCGUG
rnacentral:rRNA from 1 species